rnacentral:lncRNA from 1 species
UUUUCAACGACUCUUCUGUGGGGAAAGUGUGAGAAGCGAAGACACAACUCCUAGGGAUUGAGAAGUAGCUAGGAACUAUGAUCCGUAGUGCAAAUCUUCUGCAAUAGUGGGGAUAGGUUAAAAAAAAGAAUCAACAUUUAUUGAGUUUUCUUACUGUGUACUUGGCAUCAUGCCAAAUUGACACCAAUAUAAUGUAUGAAGCAAUUCAUGAAGACAGUUGCAGAACUACCCUUUGGUCCUUGUCUCUCAAUUAAAUCUGUGCUCUCCUCGUGUCUCUCUUUCGAUCCUUUGAAAAUUGCAAUAAUUUCUUUUUCUUCUCACUAGCCAAGAUUUUUGUCCUAUGUCCCCAGGUUAAUUUCACUUCAAGUACAAAAUUAAGUUAUAAUAUCGUCCCAAUGCCUUUUCGAUCUAAACAGACUGCUGCCACAUUACCCUUAUCACACUCUCUUACUCCCUGUGAAUGGAAUGUACCAGACCAUUUUCUCUGAGAACCUCUGGUUGAAUUACAAUCACACAAGCUGCAAUGAAUGCUGCCAUCUCCUGGUACCUUUUGAAGAGAUGAAAUCUGAGAAGGAGUCAGAUAAAAGGAUAUGGCCACAUUGCUUUCAUCCCAGAAUAACAACACUCAAGUGCCUGAGAAGCCCAACACAGAGUUCAAAGUCUUUAUUUCUAGUCUCUGGUGAGAGUGUAAAAGGAAGAAUGUGGGCUUGUUCUUACCUGCCUGAGAUUGAAGAGGAAGGGAAGGGCGGGUGUGACCAUCCCAUCCCACCUAGUGACUUUGCCAUUAAAUCCUUGUGUUAUGCACAUAGUCCCCACAUGCUCUAG